CUCGCGACGUCACGCGCAAUGGUUUACAAUCGCCGCGUUAUGUUACGUCACAAACUGUCACAAUCGCUGACAGUUCGCUCUUUACCGCGCGCUCGCGUCAUAGCGUCAUAGCUGAAGACGUCAUAGCUGAAUACGUCAUAGCUGAACAAUAUGCGACUGUGCUACACUUUCGUUUUGCGGCGUUUUUUUCAUGGGGCCCCAUGCGCGUUUUGCGUCGCGUCGAAAAAAGGCACAUUACUUGUAUAUUCUAAUUAUAUUUGCGCAAUGGGCGCGAAGCAAGAAGAUCAAAGAAUUGGUUAAGUAUAAAUCACAAUUGGCUUUAUUACGUACAUAAGUUGUUUUCUAGAAAGAUUGGUGAUGUGACGUCACGAAGUGGUGAUGAUGCAAAAGAAGAACCCACUUCAACAUGGUAUGUGACGUCAUAGAGGAUCAAGCGGACCAUGACGCGAAAAAAGAAUGAAG